rnacentral:rRNA from 1 species
UGCAAGUCGAACGGUAACAGGUCUUCGGAUGCUGACGAGUGGCGAACGGGUGAGUAACACAUCGGAACGUGCCUAGUAGUGGGGGAUAACUACUCGAAAGAGUAGCUAAUACCGCAUGAGAUCUAAGGAUGAAAGCAGGGGACCUUCGGGCCUUGCGCUACUAGAGCGGCUGAUGGCAGAUUAGGUAGUUGGUGGGAUAAAAGCUUACCAAGCCGACGAUCUGUAGCUGGUCUGAGAGGACGACCAGCCACACUGGGACUGAGACACGGCCCAGACUCCUACGGGAGGCAGCAGUGGGGAAUUUUGGACAAUGGGCGAAAGCCUGAUCCAGCAAUGCCGCGUGCAGGAUGAAGGCCCUCGGGUUGUAAACUGCUUUUGUACGGAACGAAAAGACUCUCUCUAAUAAAGAGGGUUGAUGACGGUACCGUAAGAAUAAGCACCGGCUAACUACGUGCCAGCAGCCGCGGUAAUACGUAGGGUGCGAGCGUUAAUCGGAAUUACUGGGCGUAAAGCGUGCGCAGGCGGUUAUGUAAGACAGAGGUGAAAUCCCCGGGCUCAACCUGGGAAC